UGUGAGCUCGAUGAGUAGGGCGGGACACGUGGUAUCCUGUCUGAAUAUGGGGGGACCAUCCUCCAAGGCUAAAUACUCCUGACUGACCGAUAGUGAACCAGUACCGUGAGGGAAAGGCGAAAAGAACCCCGGCGAGGGGAGUGAAAAAGAACCUGAAACCGUGUACGUACAAGCAGUGGGAGCCUCUUAAUGGGGUGACUGCGUACCUUUUGUAUAAUGGGUCAGCGACUUAUAUUCUGUAGCAAGGUUAACCGAAUAGGGGAGCCGAAGGGAAACCGAGUCUUAACUGGGCGUUAAGUUGCAGGGUAUAGACCCGAAACCCGGUGAUCUAGCCAUGGGCAGGUUGAAGGUUGGGUAACACUAACUGGAGGACCGAACCGACUAAUGUUGAAAAAUUAGCGGAUGACUUGUGGCUGGGGGUGAAAGGCCAAUCAAACCGGGAGAUAGCUGGUUCUCCCCGAAAGCUAUUUAGGUAGCGCCUCGUGAAUUCAUCUCCGGGGGUAGAGCACUGUUUCGGCAAGGGGGUCAUCCCGACUUACCAACCCGAUGCAAACUGCGAAUACCGGAGAAUGUUAUCACGGGAGACACACGGCGGGUGCUAACGUCCGUCGUGAAGAGGGAAACAACCCAGACCGCCAGCUAAGGUCCCAAAGUCAUGGUUAAGUGGGAAACGAUGUGGGAAGGCCCAGACAGCCAGGAUGUUGGCUUAGAAGCAGCCAUCAUUUAAAGAAAGCGUAAUAGCUCACUGGUCGAGUCGGCCUGCGCGGAAGAUGUAACGGGGCUAAACCAUGCACCGAAGCUGCGGCAGCGACACUAUGUGUUGUUGGGUAGGGGAGCGUUCUGUAAGCCUGUGAAGGUGGCCUGUGAGGGUUGCUGGAGGUAUCAGAAGUGCGAAUGCUGACAUAAGUAACGAUAAAGCGGGUGAAAAGCCCGCUCGCCGGAAGACCAAGGGUUCCUGUCCAACGUUAAUCGGGGCAGGGUGAGUCGACCCCUAAGGCGAGGCCGAAAGGCGUAGUCGAUGGGAAACAGGUUAAUAUUCCUGUACUUGGUGUUACUGCGAAGGGGGGACGGAGAAGGCUAUGUUGGCCGGGCGACGGUUGUCCCGGUUUAAGCGUGUAGGCUGGUUUUCCAGGCAAAUCCGGAAAACCAAGGCUGAGGCGUGAUGACGAGGCACUACGGUGCUGAAGUGACAAAUGCCCUGCUUCCAGGAAAAGCCUCUAAGCAUCAGGUAACAUCAAAUCGUACCCCAAACCGACACAGGUGGUCAGGUAGAGAAUACCAAGGCGCUUGAGAGAACUCGGGUGAAGGAACUAGGCAAAAUGGUGCCGUAACUUCGGGAGAAGGCACGCUGAUAUGUAGGUGAAGCGACUUGCUCGUGGAGCUGAAAUCAGUCGAAGAUACCAGCUGGCUGCAACUGUUUAUUAAAAACACAGCACUGUGCAAACACGAAAGUGGACGUAUACGGUGUGACGCCUGCCCGGUGCCGGAAGGUUAAUUGAUGGGGUUAGCGGUAACGCGAAGCUCUUGAUCGAAGCCCCGGUAAACGGCGGCCGUAACUAUAACGGUCCUAAGGUAGCGAAAUUCCUUGUCGGGUAAGUUCCGACCUGCACGAAUGGCGUAAUGAUGGCCAGGCUGUCUCCACCCGAGACUCAGUGAAAUUGAACUCGCUGUGAAGAUGCAGUGUACCCGCGGCAAGACGGAAAGACCCCGUGAACCUUUACUAUAGCUUGACACUGAACAUUGAGCCUUGAUGUGUAGGAUAGGUGGGAGGCUUUGAAGUGUGGACGCCAGUCUGCAUGGAGCCGACCUUGAAAUACCACCCUUUAAUGUUUGAUGUUCUAACGUUGGCCCGUAAUCCGGGUUGCGGACAGUGUCUGGUGGGUAGUUUGACUGGGGCGGUCUCCUCCUAAAGAGUAACGGAGGAGCACGAAGGUUGGCUAAUCCUGGUCGGACAUCAGGAGGUUAGUGCAAUGGCAUAAGCCAGCUUGACUGCGAGCGUGACGGCGCGAGCAGGUGCGAAAGCAGGUCAUAGUGAUCCGGUGGUUCUGAAUGGAAGGGCCAUCGCUCAACGGAUAAAAGGUACUCCGGGGAUAACAGGCUGAUACCGCCCAAGAGUUCAUAUCGACGGCGGUGUUUGGCACCUCGAUGUCGGCUCAUCACAUCCUGGGGCUGAAGUAGGUCCCAAGGGUAUGGCUGUUCGCCAUUUAAAGUGGUACGCGAGCUGGGUUUAGAACGUCGUGAGACAGUUCGGUCCCUAUCUGCCGUGGGCGCUGGAGAACUGAGGGGGGCUGCUCCUAGUACGAGAGGACCGGAGUGGACGCAUCACUGGUGUUCGGGUUGUCAUGCCAAUGGCACUGCCCGGUAGCUAAAUGCGGAAGAGAUAAGUGCUGAAAGCAUCUAAGCACGAAACUUGCCCCGAGAUGAGUUCU
rnacentral:rRNA from 1 species